AUACCUUUCUCGGCCUUUUGGCUAAGAUCAAGGGUAGUAUUUGUUCUUAUCAGUUUAAUAUCUGAUAUGUGGGCCAAUGGUCCACGCGAUAUUAAAUUUAUUUCUUGAAGGGGAGAGUCCACUAAAAUAGCUUGCUGUUGGGACUCUCAUGUGUCGCUUUUGUGUUGCACUACUGCAAUUGUCUGGCGCACCCCAC